UAUUCUUAUAAUAAAAUAAUUCUAUGCCUAACCUUGCAUUUCAUUAGUCUGUGUUUUCUAUCUUCUGAGAUACACAUCCGCCUCCUCCUCAAUGAUUCCACUUUCAAAUCCUUCUCAUCCUCAAUAAAUCAUCUUCCAUUUGUUCUUUUCAAGAUCUGCCUCCGCCAAGCACUUUAAUGUUAUCAUCAACGGUGAUAUUUCAAGUGAGGAUCCGAUAGAAUAAAGGGUUAAAAAUAUCAUCAACGGUUAUAUUUCAAGUGAAGAUCCUAUAGAAUAAAGAUACAAGAAUAUAAGAAAAAAGGCAGAAACCGUCAAGAGCUCUUCUACAGUUCCUACAAAUGGUGCUACAUGCCUACAUCAAAUGGUAACAUGGAGAGAACCCCUUUGUCCGACAUUACAAAUGGUUUGGGUAUGUCGGGCGUGAGCAGAUUUGGACCAUGGGAACUGAACGCUGCAACCACCGGUGAUGAGCAACUGUAACAUUAGUAGCGAAACAAGAGGAUGCUUGAUAUGCAUCUUCAAAUGGACUCGGCUAUCUUUAAAUUGUAUAAACCUGCAUCAGUUAACUUAGAAUCUAUGCUGAAUGAAAUUGAGCCUCUAAAGGUUUAUCUCUGGGCUUUUGUCUUUAAUAUGUCUUUUUAUAAAGUCCAUACGUCUGUUACUUUGAAGAUCUUGGUUCCAAAACCUCAUCCUCAAACACGGUUUAGAUUUCUUAAACCUAUUGAAAUAUUAGUUUUCAAAAUGGAACCUCAAAACACAACCAUGUUGAACAAUCUCAAUCCUUUGUCAAACAACUAUACGCUCAAGUUGAAGAUCAUUUCCCUUUGGAGGAAAAUGAUGCACGGCCGUCGGCCGUCCGACUGAAACUUAAUGGAUGAAGAGGUCAACAGAUUCACGCUAGCUGUAUGCAUAGGAUUUUGCCAAGGCUUCAGGACCACUUCAAGCUGGAUGAAUGUCUUCUGAUAACCAGACCAUCACUUGCACCCAACAAUUCAACCUACAACUACACCAAAAAUAAUCCGAAGUUAACUUUCAGUUUUUUCACCCAGAUUAAAAAAAGUCAAGAUUGGAAUGGGCCUAAGUAUAACUUCAAUUUUGUGAAUUUCAAGGACGUUGUCCAAAAUCGAAUUGACGUUAAUACCACAAUUGACUUUAUAGGAUAUGUUGUGGUUUGUUUCAAUCUAGAGGACACCACUAAAAAGGAUGGUAAAAAGGGAAGAGAUUGAAUGUUAAGCUUAAAGAUCUUGAGAACCAACAGAUUAUUGGUACACUGUGGGAUGAUUUUGCAAUUCGGAUGCAUGCCUACUUUAACGCUGAAAAUCGAGAGAAGUAUGUCGUGAUGGUUGUUCACUUCGGUGUUGUGAAUCUUUACAAAGAAGUAAUAAUGUCUGCCAAAGGUGAUGCUAUGUCAAAUGAUUUUAUUAAAGAUGCAAGUUUUACUACCAUUGACACAAUUUAGGAAUUACUGGAGCCAAAAUCUCUUAUUAUAUUGGCUACCGUCAAGAAGGUCGACACUGGCUUUGGCUGGUACUAUAUGAUGUGUCCUACGUGUUCACAUGAGGCUUCUCAUGAGGUUGAAGAAUAUAUCACACCCGAUGACUAUGAUGAUUUUAAGAAAUACGAUGUUUAUGAGUGCUCAAAUUACAAAUGUUCCUAAGUUUAAGAUCAAAAUCGAAGUCAAGGACAACAGCGAUUCUAUUUCACAAAUCUUAUAUCAUGAGCAGGCUACUCAGCUUUUUAAUAGGACUGCCGAGGAGUUACUGAAAUAGAACAUAUUGGUUAUUUUAUCAUCAUAAUUCUUCAAUUAUUUGAUACCUAUAUAAAUUUGUUUUUAUUA